UGGGGUGUCGCCAAGUGGUAAGGCAGGGGACUUUGAAUCCCCCAUUCGUUGGUUCGAAUCCAUCCACCCCAG
rnacentral:tRNA from 1 species